rnacentral:lncRNA from 1 species
UCGCUACUUUCUACGUAUUUUUAAUUUUUAUAAAAGUUAAAAUUAAUUUGAUAAGCAUAGUAUUCUAACGACAACAUCGCAAUCCUAUCAGGUGAUAUGCUGGAAAAGUUUUAAGCAGCACACUGUAACCAAUUUUGUAUGCGAGGUGGACUAUAUUAUGACUUCCGAUACUGUCAAAGAAGUAGUUUGGUUGAGAAAGUUCAUCAAUGAGCUUGGAGUGGCAUCUUCUAUUGAUGUUCAUAUUCUGCUG